rnacentral:rRNA from 1 species
UACGGAGGGUGCAAGCGUUAUCCGGAUUCACUGGGUUUAAAGGGUGCGUAGGUGGGCAGGUAAGUCAGUGGUGAAAUCUCUGGGCUUAACCCGGAAACUGCCGUUGAUACUAUCUGUCUUGAAUGUAGUGGAGGUGAGCGGAAUAUGUCAUGUAGCGGUGAAAUGCAUAGAUAUGACAUAGAACACCAAUUGCGAAGGCAGCUGGCUACACAAAUAUUGACGCUGAGGCACGAAAGCGUGGGGAUCAAACAGG